UAUAUGGGCACAUGAUUGGUUUACUAUACUUUGAUUCUUUCGAUACCAAAUAGUUUUACAU
rnacentral:sRNA from 1 species